GUCUUUCCAUGCGAGUGACAUAAACCUACAUCAGUCUUGAUUCAUGCCUUUCAUCAGAGAGAUACAUGAGAUAAACAAAAAAAAAUUCAAUUUCUUGCGGCUGGGAUAGUUUAAACAGAAUAGCUAGAGAGGAUAUACCUAUCCAGAUAAAGACAUCUUCCCCACCAUCAUCCGCAAGUGGAGCACGAUAAUCAUCUGCCGUGUAGUCCAGUUCAUUAUCUGACAACACGGAAUAAUCAGCAUAGAUUGACGAGGAAGCUGUUCUGACAUCUAGAUAUACCUAUCCAGAUAAAGACAUCUUCCCCACCACCAUCCGCAAGUGGAGCACGAUAAUCAUCUGCCGUGUGGUCCAGUUCAUCAUCUGACAACAAGGCAUAAUCAGCAUAGAUUGACGAGGAAGCUGUUCUGACAUCUAGAUAUACCUAUCCAGAUAAGGACAUCUUCCCCACCACCAUCCGCAAGUGGAGCACGAUAAUCAUCUGUCGUGUAGUCCAGUUCAUCAUCUGACAACAAGGCAUAAUCAGCAUAGAUUGACGAGGAAGCUGUUCUGACAUCGAUUAUAACUCAUCAAUAAAAGCAGAAUACGCGAGUCAAUCGAAGUCAAAGGAACACAUAUCUGACCUUGAUAGAGGCUGCAAAUGAUUGUCAACAAGAUUUACCCCCACGAAUUCACAUAGAUGCCAGCAUAAACUUAAGAAGAACGAAUCCUAGAUGCAUUAAAGAACACAAAGAGCUGAGCUGGCCUCAAGUUCAAGAUUGUGAAGGAAGACCUGGUAAAGCCCACUUUAACCACAGAAGGAUAUAUAUAUAUAUUUCAUUUACCCGGCACCGAAUUACACAACUCGCGAGCCAAAGAAGGCUUAUCUGACACUGAUAAUUAAUUCCUGUUUGAUAAGAGGGCUACAGACAUCGAAUGAGAUGUCGUCAUGGAUGUGAAGGAGAAAACAGUGACUGAUGCAAUGGAUGAUGAUGGUAUGCUCGCGUCGACGGUCCCGCUCGCGUCAACGAUCCCGCUCACGUCGGCGGUCCCGCCCGCGUCAAUGGUCCCGCU